CAUGCAGUCGAACGAUGAUGCCCAGCUUGCUGGGUGGAUUAGUGGCGAAGGGGUGAGUAACACGUGAGUAACCUGCCCCUGACUCUGGGAUAAGCGUUGGAAACGACGUCUAAUACUGGAUAUGAUCACUGGCCGCAUGGUCUGGUGGUGGAAAGAUUUUUUGGUUGGGGAUGGACUCGCGGCCUAUCAGCUUGUUGGUGAGGUAAUGGCUCACCAAGGCGACAACAGGUAGCCGGCCUGAGAGGGUGACCGGCCACACUGGGACUGAGACACGGCCCACACUCCUACGGGAGGCAGCAGUGGGGAAUAUUGCACAAUGGGCGAAAGCCUGAUGCACCAACGCCGCGUGAGGGAUGACGGCCUUCGGGUUGUAAACCUCUUUUAUUAGGGAAGAACCGAAAGUGACGGUACCUGCAUAAAAAGCACCGGCUAACUACGUGCCAGCAGCCGCGGUAAUACGUAGGGUGCAAGCGUUGUCCGGAAUUAUUGGGCGUAAAGAGCUCGUAGGCGGUUUGUCGCGUCUGCUGUGAAAUCCCGAGGCUCAACCUCGGGCUUGCAGUGGGUACGGGCAGACUAGAGUGCGGUAGGGGAGAUUGGAAUUCCUGGUGUAGCGGUGGAAUGCGCAGAUAUCAGGAGGAACACCGAUGGCGAAGGCAGAUCUCUGGGCCGUAACUGACGCUGAGGAGCGAAAGCGUGGGGAGCGAACAGGAUUAGAUACCCUGGUAGUCCACGCCGUAAACGUUGGGCGCUAGAUGUAGGGACCUUUCCACGGUUUCUGUGUCGUACCUAACGCAUUAAGCGCCCCGCCUGGGGAGUACGGCCGCAAGGCUAAAACUCAAAGGAAUUGACAGGGGCCCCGCACAAGCGGCGGAGCAUGCCGGAUUAAUUCGAUGCAACGCGAAGAACCUUACCAAGGCUUGACAUACACCGGAAACGGCCAGAGAUGGUUGCCCCCNUUGUGGUCGGUGUACAGGUGGGUGCAUGGUUGUCGUCACCUCGUGUCG
rnacentral:rRNA from 1 species